rnacentral:rRNA from 1 species
GACGAACGCUGGCGGCGUGCCUAAUACAUGCAAGUCGAGCGCAGGAAAUCGACGGAACCCUUCGGGGGGAAGUCGACGGAAUGAGCGGCGGACGGGUGAGUAACACGUAAAGAACCUGCCCUCAGGUCUGGGAUAACCACGAGAAAUCGGGGCUAAUACCGGAUGGGUCAUCGGACCGCAUGGUCCGAGGAUGAAAGGCGCUUCGGCGCCGCCUGGGGAUGGCUUUGCGGUGCAUUAGCUAGUUGGUGGGGUAAUGUCCCAACAAGGCGACGAUGCAUAGCCGACCUGAGAGGGUGAUCGGCCACACUGGGACUGAGACACGGCCCAGACUCCUACGGGAGGCAGCAGUAGGGAAUCUUCCACAAUGGACGAAAGUCUGAUGGAGCAACGCCGCGUGAACGAUGAAGGCCUUCGGGUCGUAAAGUUCUGUUGUAAGGGAAGAACAAGUGCCGCAGGCAAUGGCGGCACCUUGACGGUACCUUGCGAGAAAGCCACGGCUAACUACGUGCCAGCCGCCGCGGUAA